rnacentral:rRNA from 1 species
UACGUAGGGGGCGAGCGUUGUCCGGAUUUAUUGGGCGUAAAGAGCUCGUAGGCGGCUUGGCAAGUCGGGUGUGAAACCUCCAGGCUCAACCUGGAGACGCCACUCGAUACUGCUAUGGCUAGAGUCCGGUAGGGGACCACGGAAUUCCUGGUGUAGCGGUGAAAUGCGCAGAUAUCAGGAGGAACCCCGGUGGCGAAGGCGGUGGUCUGGGCCGGCACUGACGCUGAGGAGCGAAAGCGUGGGUAGCAAACAGG